rnacentral:rRNA from 1 species
UACGUAGGGGGCUAGCGUUGUCCGGAAUCAUUGGGCGUAAAGAGCGUGUAGGCGGCCAAGCAGGUCCGUUGUGAAAACUGGAGGCUUAACCUCCAGACGUCGACGGAAACCGCGUGGCUAGAGUCCGGAAGAGGAGAGUGGAAUUCCUGGUGUAGCGGUGAAAUGCGCAGAUAUCAGGAGGAACACCGGUGGCGAAGGCGCUCGUCUGGGCCAAUACUGACGCUGAGGAGCGAAAGCGUGGGGAGCGAACAGG